rnacentral:rRNA from 1 species
GACGAACGCUGGCGGCGUGCUUAACACAUGCAAGUCGAACGGAAAGGCCCUGCCUUUGUGGGGUGCUCGAGUGGCGAACGGGUGAGUAACACGUGAGUAACCUGCCCCGGACUUUGGGAUAACUCCAGGAAACUGGGGCUAAUACCGGAUAGGAGCUCCUGCUGCAUGGCGGGGGUUGGAAAGUUUCGGCGGUUGGGGAUGGACUCGCGGCUUAUCAGCUUGUUGGUGGGGUAGUGGCUUACCAAGGCUUUGACGGGUAGCCGGCCUGAGAGGGUGACCGGCCACAUUGGGCCUGAGAUACGGCCCAGACUCCUACGGGAGGCAGCAGUGGGGAAUAUUGCACAAUGGGCGGAAGCCUGAUGCAGCAACGCCGCGUGCGGGAUGACGGCCUUCGGGUUGUAAACCGCUUUCGCUUGUGACGAAGCGUAAGUGACGGUAACGGGUAAAGAAGCACCGGCUAACUACGUG